CAGCAUCGCAAAUGAAACAGUACGAAUGUACUACAACAAGCACAAAAAGGAAAUUGUACCUUAAGAGGUUGUGUUAAAGUUUGUUUUAAUGAGAAUGGAGGUUGUGACACCGCGCAGCUGCUAUACAUGCAGGUUGCCUCAAUGUGUGACUUGUUCCAGAUAUGUCAAGGACUGUUGUUUUGUAAAAAUACUUUCUUUCAAUACUUAUCUUUGCAAACUAUGCCGAUAAAAUCUCCAAUGAUUCGGUUUUUUCCAUUGCAGAAGUUACGUGAUUAUUUUAUUGUUACAUUUGACAGGGACUCACGACUUACAAUCGCUAUUCUCAUGUUGGCAAACUUAUUUCAAAGAAUAUAUGUACGUACAAUAUCUCUAUUUAAGAACUCAAAUUUACAAUAUUUUUGAAGAAUAAUCGCCAAUUCAUUUUACAGGCUCUUGAUCAUGUUAUUCAUCUUCAUUUUCCACAGACCUGGUUGUCCCACUGCUGGGCAAAGAGCUCUCUUUAUUCUCCCCAUUCUCAUUGCCCACAAACUACUUUUUUUCUUUUACCAAAUGCUAUUACAAUUCAGCAACAAAAAAAGUAAAUCAAAACAUUCCAUUCUUACAUAAGUGAGUAGUUUGUUUGGCAAUAAACAAAUCCAUUCAUCUCGCAAACGGUCUGUAAGGCAAACAGUGAAAGAUGCGUGUGCGCAUUGUGCAGAGCGGAUGUUGCGUAGAAUAGGCGCCCAUUUGUACUUGAUUGUUACGCUUUCGUUCGCCCUUGAUAGAUGGAGGUGAUAUGUUUAUUCUUGCUUUUUUAUUGAAGAAACUUUUUCCUAUUGUGGGACUACUAAGGUUUAAAAUAAUUGUAAGUUCAUCUGAGAUGGCAUUUUUGAACCCCCGUAGAAGGAUAUUUUGAGAAAAAAAUAGAACAUGAUAGGCAUUUUUAUUUAAGAAGAUAACGGGAAUAAAGAUCUCUUAGUGGCUGCAAACGCCUUAUUGUAUGUUCCAUUUAUUGCCUGAAUAAAGCAUCUGCAAGGAGUUUCUCAAUAAAACCUACAAACAUUGACCUACCACAAACAAAGACUUGACAUUCCCGCUCACGAUCGUUGACAAAAUUUAAAACCAAAAUCAGCCACCACCACGCAAAAUGUCAUCCGAAUACCAAACGUCAGGCAAAAUGAAUAUAAAUCCAUUUCAACCAUAAAAAUGUGAAACUCUAAUCAAACACCCGUAAACAAUUGGAUUCUUAUAUAUCCGGUUAAUUCAGAAAGAUGAAUAAGCAUGAGCGAAUCGAAAGUGGAUGCGAUGAGGCCGAUGUCAUUCAUAGGUCGCGGAAAACAGGAGCCGCAUAAGAAACUUAGGAGAAUCGUGAAGAAAUGCUUCGGGAUAGCACGGCGGGGCGACUACGAGUUUGCUUAUGCCCUGACUCUAGCCUCCGUGGCCGCGUGGACUGGCGCCAUCGUAGUCAUCAUAAUCGUUAUCAGAUCCCUAUACUUGAUGUACAUCAAAUCAGACUGACUUGAUACCUAAGAAUUCAAUUUUGGCCCAAAAAUAAUGAACAAAUAUGUGAACUACAAUAAACUACUAAAUGUUCAGUCUCAGGUCAAAGCCAACGAGAUUGUACCGACUCAAGAGAUCUAUCUAUCUCCGCGCGGUGCGCCACAGGGGCUUCGCGCCGUACCAGGCGCAGCUGAGUAACCUGAUCAUCUGGACCGGCCUGCUGUUCGUCAUCGCGUUUGUGCUGCGGACCUUAUACCUCAAGUUCAAAGUAAACCGUUCCUCCGCUCUAGCCAAUGACGCUGAAAACAUUGCCCAUUUAAUCCCGAGAAGACUGAGACGCUGAUAUGGUAUAAAUUUUUGGUUUUUGA